AUUCCAUUUUUCACCCCUCCUGCUCCUAAUACAAUUUAAGCACUAGGAGGUCCGGAACCUUCGACCAACCCCCACCCAAAAGAAAAACCGCAAUAACAUGUUGUCAAUUGUUACUUGAGAGCUCAGCUCGAAGAAUCCAUGGAACCUGAAAGCAAGGGACUCAAGACAGCUGAAGACGGAGAAGGAGAAGGAGACUACAUUGUUAUUUCAGAGGUGGGACGGGGCUCUUUUUCCACCGUGUCAAAAGCCGUGCACCGCCAAAGUGGCCAGGUGGUGGCUCUCAAGCAGGUCCACCUCUCGCGCCUCAACCGCCACCUCAAGAAUUGCUUGGAUUACGAGAUCAAUUUCCUGUCCUCCGUUAACCACCCCAACAUCAUCCGCCUCCUCAAUUCUUUCCAGGAUGAAGGUUGUGUAUUCAUGGUGUUGGAAUUCUGUGAUGGGGGAAAUUUGGCUGCGUAUAUUCGGCGUCACGGAAGAGUUGAAGAACAUAUUGCCAAGAGAUUUAUGCAGCAGCUCGGGGCGGCGUUGGAAAUACUACAUUCGCACCACAUCAUUCAUAGAGACUUGAAACCAGAGAACAUUCUACUCUCUGGCACUCAAGAUGAUGUGGUGCUAAAGGUAGCUGAUUUCGGUCUCUCGAGAAGUUUACAUCCAGGUGAUUAUGCCGAGACAGUUUGUGGAUCCCCAUUGUACAUGGCGCCUGAAGUUCUUCAGUUUGAAAGAUAUGACGGGAAGGUUGACAUGUGGAGUAUUGGUGUAAUUCUUUUCGAGCUUCUCAAUGGUCGCCCUCCUUUCCCUGGUAGGACUAAUGUUCAGGUGCUUAAGACCAUCAAGUCAUCCACAUACCUUCCUUUUGACCAAGUCAUCCUUUCUAGACUGCAUCCUGACUCCGUCGAUAUGUGUUCAAAACUGUUGUCUCGAAAUCCAGUUAAGCGCCUGUCCUUCAGCGAAUUCUAUUCGCACAGGUUUUUUCAAGGUUUUUGAGAAGAAUCGAGAUGCGAAAACAUUUACAGGAACACAAAUGUUGUAGCACUCUGUACAUAAAGUGAUUUUACUGUUGUGUAUGAUUCCCAAACCGAUAAAUUGCGUUAGAAGAGGUGUUGAACAGAAAUGUCAAGAUUCCAAGCUCCGUUGUGGAAUUUCGCUGUUUAAGGCAUAGCGUUCCUGUGUGUUUUCGAAUUUACGCAGACAUAAAAUAUCAUCAGGCAUCAGCAAAUGCGAUAUAAAAGGAGCUACUUAUUUACGAGAUCAUUCAUAUCAGCAAAAGCAUCAAGAAGGAUGCGUGUGUUCA